rnacentral:rRNA from 1 species
CCUACGGGAGGCUGCAGUGAGGAAUAUUGGUCAAUGGCCGCGAGGCUGAACCAGCCAAGUCGCGUGAGGGAAGACUGCCCUACGGGUUGUAAACCUCUUUUGUCGGGGAGUAAAGCGAGUCACGUGUGACUCUUUGAGAGUACCCGAAGAAAAAGCAUCGGCUAACUCCGUGCCAGCAGCCGUGGUAAUACGGAGGAUGCGAGCGUUAUCCGGAUUUAUUGGGUUUAAAGGGUGCGCAGGGGGGGGUUCAAGUCAGUGGUAAAAUUGCGGGGCUCAACCUAGUAUUGCAGUUGAAACUGGAUGCCUUGAGUGCGGGAGAGGUAGGCGGAAUGCGUGGUGUAGCGGUGAAAUGCAUAGAUAUCACGAAGAACUCCGAUUGCGAAGGCAGCAUACCGACGCGCAACUGACGUUGAUGCACGAAAGUGUGGGUAUCGAACAGGAUUAGAUACCCGUGUAGUC